rnacentral:rRNA from 1 species
UACAGAGGGGGCAAGCGUUGUUCGGAAUUACUGGGCGUAAAGGGCUCGUAGGCGGCCAACUAAGUCAGACGUGAAAUCCCCGGGCUUAACCUGGGAAUUGCGAUGGUGACUGCAAGGCUAGAGUUUGGCAGAGGGGGGUAGAAUUCCACGUGUAGCAGUGAAAUGCGUAGAGAUGUGGAGGAACACCGAUGGCGAAGGCAGCCCCCUGGGUCAAAACUGACGCUCAUGCACGAAAGCGUGGGGAGCAAACAGG